rnacentral:rRNA from 1 species
AUUGAACGCUGGCGGCAGGCCUAACACAUGCAAGUCGAACGAGUGGCGGACGGGUGAGUAAUGUCUGGGAAACUGCCUGAUGGAGGGGGAUAACUACUGGAAACGGUAGCUAAUACCGCAUACCAUCGGAUGUGCCCAGAUGGGAUUAGCUAGUAGGUGGGGUAACGGCUCACCUAGGAGACGAUCCCUAGCUGGUCUGAGAGGAUGACAAGCCACAGUGGAACGGAGACACGGUCCAGACUCCUGCGGGAGGCAGCAGUGGGGAAUAUUGCACAAGGGGCGAAAGCCUGAUGCAGCCAUGCCGCGUGUAUGAAGGAGGCCGUCGGGUUGUAAAGUACUUUGAGCGGAGAGGCGUUACCCGCAGAAGAAGCACCGGCUAACUCCGUGACAGCAGCCGCGGUAAA